CACCCGAGACUCCAGCGCGGGAGCUUGGGGUCGGCACCCCGGGGCCGAGGCAGGUGCAGCCGUCCCACCCUCGGUCUCCUCCUCCUGCCGCACAGGGGCAGCACCAUGCCUUCCGGCGUGGAGGCUCUGGACCUGCCGGCGUGGAACGGAGCCUCAGGCCUGUCCUGGGGGCCCCGCCACAGAAAUGCAAUGGCUCAUCUUGAUUCUGAGGUGAAAGAGGAAUGUCUGCGGGAAGACCUGAAGUUUUAUUUCAUGAACCCUUGUGAAAAAUACCGAGCCCGACACCAGAUCCCAUGGAAGCUGGGACUGCAGAUUUUGAAGAUAGCCAUGGUCACCACGCAGCUUGUUCGUUUUGGUCUAAGUAACCAGCUCGUGGUUGCUUUCAAAGAAGAGAACACUGUUGCUUUUAAGCACUUGUUUCUGAAAGGAUAUUCUGGCACAGAUGAAGAUGACUAUAGUUGCAGUGUGUAUACCCAAGAGGAUGCCUACGAAAGCAUCUUUUUUGCUCUCAGUCAGUAUCAUCAGCUAAAGAACAUAUCCCUGGGGACCCUUGGUUAUGGAGAAAACGAAGACAAUAGAAUUGGCUUAAAAGUCUGUAAGCAGCAUUACAAGAAAGGGACCAUGUUUCCUUCUAAUGAGACACUGAAUAUUGACAGCGACAUUGAAAUAGAUUGUGUUCACUUAGACCUCUCCACAUACCCUCAGGAGUGGAAGAACUCGUCAUUCUUCAGACUGGAAUUUUAUCGGCUCUUACAAGUUGAAAUUUCCUUUCACCUCAAAGGCAUUGACCUACAGACGAUUCAUUCCCGAGAGUUACCGGACUGUUACGUCUUUCAUAAUACGAUUACCUUUGACAAUAAAGCUCACAGUGGCAAGAUCAAAAUCUAUUUUGGCAGUGAUGCUAAAAUUGAAGAAUGUAAAGACUUGAACAUAUCUGGAUCUAUUCAGAAAAACACCCAGUACGUGCUGGCGUUUGAUGCAUUUGUCAUUGUGAUAUGCUUGGCAUCUCUUAUUCUGUGCACAAGAUCCAUUGUUCUAGCUCUAAGGUUACGAAAGAGAUUUCUCAAUUUCUUCCUGGAGAAGUACAAGCGACACGUGUGUAACGCCGACCAGUGGGAGUUCAUCAAUGGAUGGUAUAUCCUGGUGAUUAUCAGCGACCUAAUGACGAUAAUUGGAUCCAUAUUAAAAAUGGAAAUUAAAGCAAAGAAUCUCACCAAUUACGACCUGUGCAGCAUUUUGCUCGGAACGUCUACGCUCUUUGUCUGGGUUGGCGUCAUCAGAUACCUGGGUUACUUCCAAGCAUAUAAUGUGCUCAUUUUAACGAUGCAAGCCUCACUGCCCAAAGUUCUUCGCUUCUGUGCUUGUGCUGGUAUGAUCUACUUGGGCUACACGUUCUGUGGCUGGAUUGUUUUAGGACCUUAUCACGACAAGUUUGAAGAUCUGAACACAGUUGCUGAGUGUCUGUUUUCUCUGGUCAAUGGUGAUGACAUGUUUGCGACCUUUGCUCAAAUACAGCAGAAGAGCAUCUUGGUGUGGCUAUUCAGUCGCCUGUAUUUAUAUUCCUUCAUCAGUCUUUUUAUAUAUAUGAUCCUCAGCCUGUUCAUUGCACUUAUUACAGAUUCUUAUGAUACCAUCAAGAAAUACCAACAGAAUGGAUUUCCUGAAACGGACCUUCAGGAAUUUCUGAAGGAGUGUGGUAGCAAAGAGAAGUAUCAGAAAGAGGCCUCACCCUUCUUGUCCUGCAUCUGCUGCCUGAGGAGUCACAGGUGGGGUUGUUGACUGAAAAUAUCCCCUACCCAUGUUUUUCGAGAAGAAAUCUCUAAAUCAAAUUCCUGAAGGGAGAUGGAAGAACAUAAUUGCUACUUUAAACCACAGGAUGUAUUUUCUGUUAAUCGAUUCAUACCGCAUCUUGGGAUUUGAAAUGAUAUGAGUGAGCGUUUCCAAAGAAUGUCUGGUAAAUAUGAAAUGAAGUCUUCUGAGAAAAGUUCAGUUUUUUAAAAUCACAUUUCUUCCUCUCAGAGCAUUAAAUUGUUGCCGUGGAAGCUGGGAUAAAGGGAAAUUAAUUUUCUUAAUAGGCAGUGGCUUCCUAAGAGGCACCUUAUGUAAGGAAAAUCUCUCAAAGUUGUUUUUUCCAAUGUGUAUUUAACUGUAAAGAAAAAAUCAUCAUUAGAGAGUGUAAUUGUGAAUUCUGGAAAGUAACCGAUAAGUUUUUGGUAUUUGAUUUUUGGGCUUUGGUGUGCAUCACAAAAGCCCCAGGAGGAUGUUAAAUGUUUUCUUGUGCAGCCACAUGGAAUGAGCAAAAGGUUUAAGGGAGGGACUAGAAAACGUCUUGGUCGGAUUGGGUCUGAGAACUGAGAAGAAGAAUCAAUAUCAGCAGAUGGUCCACUGUAUGGCAUGCGAGGGGCUGUUGAGAAGAUGCCUGCUUCACAGGAGGGUCUGCUCAUCAUGACAAAUGAAAGAAUUCAGCGGACGGAGGGAGUCUACCAAGGAAGUCAGCUGAAGAACUAAAAUGUUGAAAGUUUUGAAAAAAGAGGCUAUCAAAAAUAAAAACAGAAGUGGUUGUUACCGAAGAUGGUCAUGGGUGAAGUCAGCUGGAGAAGUUUUAGUUGAAUAAUCAGAUCAAAGCUUGAUCUGAUUGGACCCCUGGCCAAUUGGGAUGGACCCUACAGAGAGUAAACGAAGGUCACGGGACUGAUGCCGGAAAUGGAUGGUCCUGGGGCCAUGAGAAUAAAUGAUGACUUUGACUCCAUCAAAAAGUACACCUGGAGGUGUUUAAAGGAAAGGAAGUGAUGACCACUUGGUACUUAUGAACUAAAAUCUUCCUGCUAAAGAUAAUCAAGUUUCAGGCCUCUUUACCCUGUGACAAUGCAGAGGGCCCCAAACAGCUCGGACCAGCACUUCCAAAAAUACUGACUUAUUUAAUUGUGGAGCAGGAAAGAGGACUGUUAGCUGGUUGAACACAACUGAAAUUCCAAAGUUCCUUUUAUAAACUUGGAUGAUGAAGCAUAGACCACGGUCAACUACUGGGCAUCAGUGCAAUGGAGCAGUGAUAAUGAAAUUCUGCGUUGAACUUUUAACUUAUGACAUCACAAUGUUGGGAUGGAAAAAAAAAAAAUCACAUUUCAAAGUGUGCCAAAACAAUGGCACCUAAAGCCAUGCAUUGAAAGAUAGGUGUUAAUCGUUCAAUAAGGGUUUGUUUUAAAAGUGAUUUGGGAUUAGAAGACAUUUGCUAAUUCAUGGUGUGUACAGAAAUGAAGUUGGUUCCAAUACUCAGUUAGAAAUUGCAAGGUGGAGAACUAUUAAGCCAACUAAAGAACACACUUAAAUCAACAAAAAGACCGUCUUGGCCUGUUUUCCUAUGUUUGUUUGUUUUCCAGCAUGACAGGAAGCAACUGUUGGCAUGGUGGGAUGAAUCAUGGGGUUCGGUGGGUUGGUUCAGUGGGAUGAACUGGAAACAGUCAUUUGUACACCUUGUCGCUUGUGCUAUUGUUGAUUAUACACACAUGACAUGGAAGUGAAGGGUACAAUGGUCACUCAUUUUAACAACUGAACUCCACUAUGGUGGCAAUUUGCCCUUGUCAAGCAAGGAAAGAUGGUAUUUUUUUCCCAAAUAAAUUUAUUUUUGUCACAACAA